rnacentral:miRNA from 1 species
ACAAGUCUUUGUAUAGCUUAU